UGGGGAAUAUUGCACAAUGGGCGCAAGCCUGAUGCAGCCAUGCCGCGUGUGUGAAGAAGGCCUUCGGGUUGUAAAGCACUUUCAGCGAGGAGGAAGGUGGUGAACUUAAUACGUUCAUCAAUUGACGUUACUCGCAGAAGAAGCACCGGCUAACUCCGUGCCAGCAGCCGCGGUAAUACGGAGGGUGCAAGCGUUAAUCGGAAUUACUGGGCGUAAAGCGCACGCAGGCGGUUUGUUAAGUCAGAUGUGAAAUCCCCGGGCUCAACCUGGGAACUGCAUUUGAAACUGGCAAGCUAGAGUCUCGUAGAGGGGGGUAGAAUUCCAGGUGUAGCGGUGAAAUGCGUAGAGAUCUGGAGGAAUACCGGUGGCGAAGGCGGCCCCCUGGACGAAGACUGACGCUCAGGUGCGAAAAGCGUGGGGAGCAAAACAGGAUUAGAUACCCUGGUAGUCCACGCUGUAAAACGAUGUCGAUUUUGGAGGUUGUGCCCCUUGAGGCGUGGNUUCCGGAGCUAACG
rnacentral:rRNA from 1 species